CAAUAGCGUAUAUUAAAGUUGUUGCAGUUAAAAAGCUCGUAGUUGGAUUUUGGACAUCGUCUGUCGGUCCGCCUAUUUGGUGAGUACUGUCGGGUGAAAUCUUCCGGCUGAAGGCUAUCUGUGCUCUUCAUUGGGUGUAGGUAGAAUUCAGCCCAUUUACUUUGAAAAAAUUAGAGUGUUCAAAGCAGGCCUUUGGCUUGAAUACAUUAGCAUGGAAUAACAGAAUAGGACUUUGGUUCUAUUUUGUUGGUUUCUAGGACCGAAGUAAUGAUUAAUAGGGAUAGUUGGGGGCAUUAAUAUUUAAUUGUCAGAGGUGAAAUUCUUUGAUUUAUGAAAGAUUAACUUCUGCGAAAGCAUUUGCCAAGGAUGUUUUCAUUAAUCAAGAACGAAAGUUAGGGGAUCGAAGAUGAUCAGAUACCAU
rnacentral:rRNA from 1 species